CCUACGGGUGGCAGCAGUGGGGAAUAUUGCACAAUGGGGGAAACCCUGAUGCAGCGACGCCGCGUGAGUGAAGAAGUAUUUCGGGAUGUAAAGCUCUAUCAGUAGGGAAGAGAAUGACGGUACCUGUCUAAGAAUCUCCGGCUAACUACGUGCCAGCAGCCGCGGUAAUACGUAGGGGGCAAGCGUUAUCCGGAUUUACUGGGUGUAAUGGGAGCGUAGACGGCUGGCCAAGUCAGAAGUGAAAGUCCGGGGCUCAACCCCGGAACGGCCUUGGAAACUGGCCGGCUGGAGUGCUGGAGAGGCAGGCGGAAUUCCUGGUGUAGCGGUGAAAUGCGUAGAUAUCAGGAGGAACACCGGUGGCGAAGGCAGCCUGCUGGACAGUAACUGACGUUGAGGCUCGAAAGCGUGGGGAGCAAACAGGAUUAGAUACCCGGGUAGUC
rnacentral:rRNA from 1 species